UACGGAGGAUCCAAGCGUUAUCCGGAAUCAUUGGGUUUAAAGGGUCCGUAGGCGGUCUUGUAAGUCAGUGGUGAAAGCCCAUCGCUCAACGGUGGAACGGCCAUUGAUACUGCAGGACUUGAAUUAUUGGGAAGUAACUAGAAUAUGUAGUGUAGCGGUGAAAUGCUUAGAGAUUACAUGGAAUACCAAUUGCGAAGGCAGGUUACUACCAAUUUAUUGGCGCUGAUGGACGAAAGCGUGGGUAGCGAACAGG
rnacentral:rRNA from 1 species